GACCGCCCGUGGUGGUCAGAACCAUCAACUACAGAUCAGGAGGCAUCCAAGGACCGACCCUGGAGUCGGGACCAUCAAUUGCAGACCCAAAAGUCCAUGCGAUCUUCACUACAGACAGGCAGUUCCUGCCUAACAGCUGACCUUAAUUUCUUACUGCUACUAAGGCACUGACGACAUAUACCAGCCCAUACCCGUAUGGCACUACCCUCAGAGCAGGAUCUCCUGGCUUAUCCACGAGCGAAGCAGGAGAAAGUAUCCCGACGACCAGUCUCCUUCUUCCUAUUAUUCCG
rnacentral:lncRNA from 1 species